rnacentral:rRNA from 1 species
UACGUAGGGGGCAAGCGUUGUCCGGAAUCAUUGGGCGUAAAGAGCGUGUAGGCGGUCCGAUAAGUCCGCUCUGAAAGCCCGGGGCUCAACCCCGGGAGGCGGGCGGAUACUGUCGGGCUAGAGUCCGGAAGAGGCAAGUGGAAUUCCUGGUGUAGCGGUGAAAUGCGCAGAUAUCGUAAGGAAGACCAGUGGCGAAGGCGGGUCUCUGGACAGUUCCUGACGCUGAGGCACGAAGGUCAGGGGAGCAAACGGG